rnacentral:rRNA from 1 species
GGGUUGUGAGGUUAAGCGACUAAGCGUACACGGUGGAUGCCCUGGCAGUCAGAGGCGAUGAAGGACGUGCUAAUCUGCGAAAAGCGUCGGUAAGGUGAUAUGAACCGUUAUAGCCGGCGAUGUCCGAAUGGGGAAACCCAGUGCAAUUCGUUGCACUAUCGUUAACUGAAUACAUAGGUUAACGAGGCGAACCGGGGGAACUGAAACAUCUAAGUACCCCGAGGAAAAGAAAUCAACCGAGAUUCCCCCAGUAGCGGCGAGCGAACGGGGAGCAGCCCAGAGUCUGAAUCAGCUUGUGUGUUAGUGGAACGGUCUGGAAAGUCCGACGGUACAGGGUGAUAGUCCCGUACACCAAAAUGCACAGGUUGUGAACUCGAAGAGUAGGGCGGGACACGUGGUAUCCUGUCUGAAUAUGGGGGGACCAUCCUCCAAGGCUAAAUACUCCUGACUGACCGAUAGUGAACCAGUACCGUGAGGGAAAGGCGAAAAGAACCCCGGCGAGGGGAGUGAAAAAGAACCUGAAACCGUGUACGUACAAGCAGUGGGAGCACCUUCGGGUGUGACUGCGUACCUUUUGUAUAAUGGGUCAGCGACUUAUAUUCUGUAGCAAGGUUAACCGUAUAGGGGAGCCGCAGGGAAACCGAGUCUUAACUGGGCGUUAAGUUGCAGGGUAUAGACCCGAAACCCGGUGAUUCAGCCAUGGGCAGGUUGAAGGUUGGGUAACACUAACUGGAGGACCGAACCGACUAAUGUUGAAAAAUUAGCGGAUGACUUGUGGCUGGGGGUGAAAGGCCAAUCAAACCGGGAGAUAGCUGGUUCUCCCCGAAAGCUAUUUAGGUAGCGCCUCGUGAAUUCAUCUUCGGGGGUAGAGCACUGUUUCGGCUAGGGGGUCAUCCCGACUUACCAACCCGAUGCAAACUACGAAUACCGAAGAAUGUUAUCACGGGAGACACACGGCGGGUGCUAACGUCCGUCGUGAAGAGGGAAACAACCCAGACCGCCAGCUAAGGUCCCAAAGUCAUGGUUAAGUGGGAAACGAUGUGGGAAGGCACAGACAGCCGGAUGUUGGCUUAGAAGCAGCCAUCAUUUAAAGAAAGCGUAAUAGCUCACUGGUCGAGUCGGCCUGCGCGGAAGAUGUAACGGGCUAAACCAUGCACCGAAGCUGCGGCAGCGACACGAUGUGUUGUUGGGUAGGGGAGCGUUCUGUAAGCCUGCGAAGGUGUGCUGUGAGGCAUGCUGGAGGUAUCAGAAGUGCGAAUGCUGACAUAAGUAACGAUAAAGCGGGUGAAAAGCCCGCUCGCCGGAAGACCAAGGGUUCCUGUCCAACGUUAAUCGGGGCAGGGUGAGUCGACCCCUAAGGCGAGGCCGAAAGGCGUAGUCGAUGGGAAACAGGUUAAUAUUCCUGUACUUGGUGUUACUGCGAAGGGGGGACGGAGAAGGCUAUGUUAGCCGGGCGACGGUUGUCCCGGUUUAAGCAUGUAGGCUGGUUGUCCAGGCAAAUCCGGAUAAUCAAGGCUGAGGUGUGAUGACGAGGCACUACGGUGCUGAAGUAACAAAUGCCCUGCUUCCAGGAAAAGCCUCUAAGCAUCAGGUAACAUCAAAUCGUACCCCAAACCGACACAGGUGGUCAGGUAGAGAAUACCAAGGCGCUUGAGAGAACUCGGGUGAAGGAACUAGGCAAAAUGGUGCCGUAACUUCGGGAGAAGGCACGCUGGUGUGUAGGUGAAGUCCCUGCGGAUGGAGCUGAGACCAGUCGAAGAUACCAGCUGGCUGCAACUGUUUAUUAAAAACACAGCACUGUGCAAACACGAAAGUGGACGUAUACGGUGUGACGCCUGCCCGGUGCCGGAAGGUUAAUUGAUGGGGUUAUCCGUAAGGAGAAGCUCUUGAUCGAAGCCCCGGUAAACGGCGGCCGUAACUAUAACGGUCCUAAGGUAGCGAAAUUCCUUGUCGGGUAAGUUCCGACCUGCACGAAUGGCGUAAUGAUGGCCAGGCUGUCUCCACCCGAGACUCAGUGAAAUUGAACUCGCUGUGAAGAUGCAGUGUACCCGCGGCAAGACGGAAAGACCCGUGAACCUUUACUAUAGCUUGACACUGAACAUUGAGCCUUGAUGUGUAGGAUAGGUGGGAGGCUUUGAAGCGUGGACGCCAGUCUGCGUGGAGCCAACCUUGAAAUACCACCCUUUAAUGUUUGAUGUUCUAACGUUGGCCCCUGACCGGGGUUGCGGACAGUGUCUGGUGGGUAGUUUGACUGGGGCGGUCUCCUCCCAAAGCGUAACGGAGGAGCACGAAGGUUAGCUAAUCCUGGUCGGACAUCAGGAGGUUAGUGCAAUGGCAUAAGCUAGCUUGACUGCGAGCGUGACGGCGCGAGCAGGUGCGAAAGCAGGUCAUAGUGAUCCGGUGGUUCUGAAUGGAAGGGCCAUCGCUCAACGGAUAAAAGGUACCCGGGGAUAACAGGCUGAUACCGCCCAAGAGUUCAUAUCGACGGCGGUGUUUGGCACCUCGAUGUCGGCUCAUCACAUCCUGGGGCUGAAGUAGGUCCCAAGGGUAUGGCUGUUCGCCAUUUAAAGUGGUACGCGAGCUGGGUUUAGAACGUCGUGAGACAGUUCGGUCCCUAUCGCCGUGGGCGCUGGAGAAUUGAGGGGCUGCUCCUAGUACGAGAGGACCGGAGUGGACGCAUCACUGGUGUUCGGGUUGUCAUGCCAAUGGCACUGCCCGGUAGCUAAAUGCGGAAGAGAUAAGUGCUGAAAGCAUCUAAGCACGAAACUUGCCCCGAGAUGAGUUCUCCUGAGACUUUAAGUCUCCUGAAGGAACGUUAAAGACGAUGACGUUGAUAGGCCGGGUGUGUAAGCGCAGCGAUGCGUUGAGCUAACCGGUACUAAUGAACCGUGAGGCUUAACCUUACAACGCCGAAG